rnacentral:rRNA from 1 species
AGUGAACGCUGGCGGCAGGCCUAACACAUGCAAGUCGAGCGGCAGCGGGUCCCCGCGAGGGGAUGCCGGCGAGCGGCGGACGGGUGAGGAACACAUCGGAAUCUGCCUGGGUUGUCGGGGAUAACGUAGGGAAACUUACGCUAAUACCGCAUGCGACCCUGAGUCGACGGACUGGGGGUGAAAGUGAGGGACCUUCGGGCCGUCGACGCGACCAGAUGAGCCGAUGUCGGA